UUGGUGAGGUGAGGUGAAGGAGUGAUGGUGGAAAGCAUGGUGGAAAUCAUGAUGGAAAUGUCUUAAUGUUUAUGUAAUUAAUGUUUUUGUAAUUGUUUUUUUAACAGCAAAGGCAAAGCUGUAUGAAGAAUAGUUAGUUGGCUGGAUUGUCAUUUGUUGCCUUCUCCAUUGGAAAUGAUUGAGCGUGAUCAAAGUAAAAUGCUAGAUGGAAUGUGGGUAGGGGGCAGUCAUGGGGCAGUGAGGCUAUUUCAGAUCUGUCUGAGCACCAAUUUUUGCGAGGUUUAUCAAGAAUUUGCUUAAAUUUGUUCUGUUUUAGGUUGCAAACACUACCAAACAGAGAAAUAAAGAUAGGAAACAUUAUCCCACUCAAAAAUAGGUUAUAGUCCAGAUGAAGAAUCGAAUUCACUAGUGCAUAAUAAAUACAGGUCAGUGGUCUAUUGCAUUGUGGGCAAUGUGGUGUGACCAAAUUAGCCAAUCAAAAGCUGCAGUUUCGGUCAUGUGACAGUUUUUGACAGAUUGAGUGAUUGACAGUCAGUUUUCAAGACCAUGUGGACAAUGCGGUGGCAAGGAAAUUCGCUCUUCGUUGCAAGAAAAGAAAACCAGGCCGAAAUCCGUCGACGAAAGCUGGAUUCAAUGGUCGUGAAUUGUACAUUGUGAUGAUGGAGAAAUGCUACCAUUUUGCAUGCAAAUACAAAAUCUAAAAUAAAAUUCAAACCAGACAUUUUAUGCAAUAAAAAUCAAACCAAACAUUUUAUGAUAUUUUGGAUUGCACGCAGCUCAGAUCCCAACCCUUGGUUACAUCUUGCAUGUUUUGUCAGGAGUAAUGAGUAAGUAUAAGUGAUCAGGGGCCCGGGUCAUUUAUACUUUCUGUAUGCUCGACUGACCUAGUCCGGCAUAGGCAAAAUAUUGCUCUUGGAGCACACAAAAAAAGAGAUGCAUGUUGA